rnacentral:rRNA from 1 species
AUUGAACGCUGGCGGCAGGCUUAACACAUGCAAGUCGAGCGAGCGGCGGACGGGUGAGUAAUGUCUGGGAAACUGCCUGAUGGAGGGGGAUAACUACUGGAAACGGUAGCUAAUACCGCAUACCAUCAGAUGUGCCCAGCUGGGAUUAGCUAGUAGGUGGGGUAAUGGCUCACCUAGGCGACGAUCCCUAGCGUGCCUGCGAGGAUGACCGGCCACACUGGAACUGAGACACGGCCCAGACUCCUACGGGAGGCAGCAGUGGGGAAUAUUGCAAAAUGGGCGCAAGCCUGAUGCAGCCAUGCCGCGUGUGUGAAGAAGGUCUUCGGGUUGUAAAGCACUUGUGGCGAGGAGGCGUUACUCGCAGAAGAAGCACCGGCUAACUCCGUGCCAGCAGCCGCGGUAAUAC